AGUGAACGCUGGCGGUAGGCCUAACACAUGCAAGUCGAACGGCAGCACAGUAAGAGCUUGCUCUUACGGGUGGCGAGUGGCGGACGGGUGAGGCAUACAUCGGAAUCUACUUUUUCGUGGGGGAUAACGUAGGGAAACUUACGCUAAUACCGCAUACGACCUACGGGUGAAAGCAGGGGAUCUUCGGACCUUGCGCGAUUGAAUGAGCCGAUGUCGGAGUAGCUAGUUGGCGGGGUAAAGGCCCACCAAGGCGACGAUCCGUAGCUGGUCUGAGAGGAUGAUCGGCCACACUGGGACUGAGACACGGUCCAGACUCCUACGGGAGGCAGCAGUGGGGAAUAUUGGACAAUGGGCGCAAGCCUGAUCCAGCAAUACCGCGUGGGUGAAGAAGGCCUUCGGGUUGUAAAGCCCUUUUGUUGGGAAAGAAAAGCAGCAGGUGAAUACCCCGCUGUUCUGACGGUACCCAAAGAAUAAGCACCGGCUAACUUCGUG
rnacentral:rRNA from 1 species